UACGGAGGGGGCUAGCGUUGUUCGGAAUUACUGGGCGUAAAGCGCACGUAGGCGGACCGGAAAGUUGGGGGUGAAAUCCCGGGGCUCAACCUCGGAACUGCCUUCAAAACUACUGGUCUGGAGUUCGAGAGAGGUGAGUGGAAUUCCGAGUGUAGAGGUGAAAUUCGUAGAUAUUCGGAGGAACACCAGUGGCGAAGGCGGCUCACUGGCUCGAUACUGACGCUGAGGUGCGAAAGCGUGGGGAGCAAACAGG
rnacentral:rRNA from 1 species